UACGUAGGGUGCGAGCGUUAAUCGGAAUUACUGGGCGUAAAGCGUGCGCAGGCGGUUUGUUAAGACAGAUGUGAAAUCCCCGGGCUUAACCUGGGAACUGCAUUUGUGACUGGCAAGCUAGAGUAUGGCAGAGGGGGGUAGAAUUCCACGUGUAGCAGUGAAAUGCGUAGAGAUGUGGAGGAAUACCGAUGGCGAAGGCAGCCCCCCUGGGCCAAUACUGACGCUCAUGCACGAAAGCGUGGGGAGCAAACAG
rnacentral:rRNA from 1 species